ensembl:snRNA U1 U1 spliceosomal RNA
AUACUUACCUGGCAGGGGAGAUACCAUGGCAGCCAUGAGAUGGCAGGGGAGACACCAAGGCAGUUCGCCUAGGGCCCCUGUGAAUUUCCCAAAUGUGAGAAUCUUGACUGCAUGAUUUCUGGUAGUGGGAGACUACACUGGGGCAAUGUUGGCCUAG